UUUUUGAUUUUUUUCGGAUCGUUAUUUCUGUGACUUUUCUGUCAAAUUUGUUUCUUUCGGGUCUAUAUUUGUGGAAUUUCCAUCAGGGCAUUUACAAAACUUGUUCGUCUGAUUCUUAUCACUGUGGUAGCAGAAACUUUCUUUUGUUCGAAUCGGUUUCCCACUCGUAAAAAUUGCAAUUUGUUGUCUCUAAUCACCAUUAAAAUUUUUUUGAUGUUGAUCCAUUUGCUUCUGUUCUUCCUUCUUUUGCUGCCACUGCCACUGCGGCUGCUGGUGCUGCAUUUUAUUGAUUUAUGCGAAUGCGGCAAGCUUCAAAGCCAAAUUCAAGGCAUGACUGCAACCGCAACAACAACGAUUACAAUUCAGCUUGCAACAUUCUGGGUUGUGGGACAAAAAAAUGUGUCCAUAAAAGCAUAUAAAAAUAAUAAUAUGAAAUAAUAUAAUAAGAAAAAUAAAUGAUGCCGUGAAAUUUUUACAUUUCAAA